UUUCCGUAGGUGAACCUGCGGAAGGAUCAUUAUUGUAUAACCGAGGUGCGAGGGCUGUCGCUGACCCGAAAGGUCGUGCACGCCCGAGUGCCCUCACAAACAUCCAUCUCACCCCUAUGUGCACCACCGCGUGGGUCCCCCUUUGGCUUGUUCGGAGGGGGGCUUACGUUUUCACACAAACUUUGUAUGCAGUGUAGAAUGUAUUUUUUGUUUUUGCGAUCACGCAAUCAAUACAACUUUCAACAACGGAUCUCUUGGCUCUC
rnacentral:misc_RNA from 1 species